GAUGAAGAACGUAGCGAAAUGCGAUAACUAAUGUGAAUUGCAGAAUUCAGUGAAUCAUCGAGUCUUUGAACGCACAUUGCGCCCCCUGGUAUUCCGGGGGGCAUGCCUGUCCGAGCGUCAUUGCUGCCCUCAAGCACGGCUUGUGUGUUGGCUCCGUCCCCCCGGGGACGGGCCCGAAGGGCAGCGGCGGCACCGAGUCCGGUCCUCGAGCGUAUGGGGCUUUGUCACCCGCUCUGUAGGCCCGGCCGGCGCCAGCCGACAACCCAUCAUCCUUUUCAGGUUGACCUCGGAUCAGGUAGGGAUACCCGCUGAACUUAAGCAUAUCAUAAGCGGAGGA
rnacentral:misc_RNA from 1 species